AUGGCCGCCGAGCCACCGCCUUGCGCCGCCCGUUCGUCGCCCCACCGCAGCGUCCUGCUUCACUCAACGCCCCUGCGCGCUAGUCCCUCAACCAGAGCACCACACCUACGCUCCUGUUUCCUCCUCGUAACCAGUGAGCGUCGCGCCGUCUUCUUCUCCUCCUGCUCGCACCAGGACCCUGCAGGUCGCCGCCCCUUCAUGCGAGCCUCCUCCGAGCGCCCCCUUCUCCCCCACCAUCGGUCGGCCACCAGCGAGGCUCCGUCUUCGAGUCGUCCGGCCAUCUUCUAUGGCGUCUCGGCCUCUUGCCCGAGCCCAGGCCGCUGCUGCGCCUCCUUGCCUCCUCCGCACCCCUCCGUCGUUCACCACCGGCAGCCUCGACGGUCAGAGCAAGCAUGGUGCCACGCGCUCCCUCCGCGGGCCAUGGACGCCGCCCCUCCAAGCCGCAGUUCGGCCAGCGUGCCUUCCCACCUCCUUGUCGUCUUGCUGCAGCCCCGCGUUGACUUCCCCUACUCACAGGAGCUCGUCAUCUCCAGCGCUACCCCUGCCCGAGUCAAGUGCCACCAAGUCCUGAUGAAUGCGCCAAGUCCUCAGCGAGACCUGUUUUUCGUCAAAUUCGGCUACGCGGCUAUGACCUCAGAUUUGGACCACAAGCGGCAAGUACCCCACCGGCAAGACCACACGAACGCUCGAACAACUACAUACCGAAACACCAAGUCCAUCUUCGAACAUGUACGACUACCGCCGACUUCGGAUAAGUCAAGUCCAACAACGACUGUGUACAACUAUCGGCGACCCCGAAGGACUACGAAACUUGAACCUCUACUUCCCCUUCAAAACAUGUACCACUACCGCCGCCCGAACAUCUAUAGAGCAUGUACCAUGACCAUCGGUGAAGACUCCGUGGACAUCAAGUUCCUCGCGUGA
rnacentral:rRNA from 1 species